rnacentral:rRNA from 1 species
GACGAACGCUGGCGGCGUGCUUAACACAUGCAAGUCGAACGGUGAAGGGACCAGCUUGCUGGUUCUGGAUGAGUGGCGCACGGGUGAGUAACACGUGAGUAACCUGCCCCCUUCUUCUGGAUAACCGCAUGAAAGUGUGGCUAAUACGGGAUAUUCUGGGUCUGUCGCAUGGCGGGCCCGGGAAAGAUAUUGCUUCGGUGGGGGAUGGGCUCGCGGCCUAUCAGCUUGUUGGUGGGGUGAUGGCCUACCAAGGCGGUGACGGGUAGCCGGCCUGAGAGGGUGGACGGUCACACUGGGACUGAGACACGGCCCAGACUCCUACGGGAGGCAGCAGUGGGGAAUAUUGCACAAUGGGCGCAAGCCUGAUGCAGCGACGCCGCGUGAGGGAUGGAGGCCUUCGGGUUGUAAACCUCUUUCGCCAGUGAAGCAGGCCUGCUCCUUGUGGGUGGGUUGACGGUAGCUGGAUAAGAAGCGCCGGCUAACUACGUG